UGAAGACGCCGUAAGUUUUACCUGUGAUGAGGGAUAUGAGUUGGUGGGGUCCCAGACUGCUGUUUGUCAAGCGGACAUGACAUGGAGUAGCACUACACCAGCAUGUCAGAAGAAGUCGUGCCCAGUUCUGGAUGUGAUUCCAGACGGCACCGUAGCUGGUGGCCACCUGUACGGGGAUAACACCACCUUCAUCUGCUCAGCUGGUUAUCAGCUGGUCGGUGACCAGCACCGCACCUGCCAGGCUAACCAGACGUGGAGCGGCCUGCAGCCAUUUUGUCAAA